AGCGAACGCUGGCGGCAGGCUUAACACAUGCAAGUCGAGCGGGCACUUUCGGGUGUCAGCGGCGGACGGGUGAGUAACGCGUGGGAACGUGCCCUCUGGUUCGGAAUAACUCAGGGAAACUUGAGCUAAUACCGGAUACGCCCUUUUGGGGAAAGGCUUGCUGCCGGAGGAUCGGCCCGCGUCUGAUUAGCUAGUUGGUGAGGUAACGGCUCACCAAGGCGACGAUCAGUAGCUGGUUUGAGAGGAUGAUCAGCCACACUGGGACUGAGACACGGCCCAGACUCCUACGGGAGGCAGCAGUGGGGAAUAUUGGACAAUGGGCGCAAGCCUGAUCCAGCCAUGCCGCGUGAGUGAUGAAGGCCUUAGGGUUGUAAAGCUCUUUUAUCCGGGACGAUAAUGACGGUACCGGAGGAAUAAGCCCCGGCUAACUUCGUG
rnacentral:rRNA from 1 species